GAGGAGUUAGCUGAGAAGAGGGAGUCCUGAAAUGCCAGUUAACCCAGCAGAAGUUGAUAAGCUCACUCACAGCCAGGGACAUGGUUUCCCAGGUAUACAGUUCCAUUGUAAAGGAGGCGAUGGGUUUCUUCUCCUCUGCCGACCCACUGAAUUUUAUAAGAAAAGCCAGUGGGCUCCCAGACAAAGUUAAAAAGAACAGAACGGCAAUUUUCAUGUGGUGUUAAUUUCCGUGGAAGAAGAAAAGGCUCGACUCUCUGUCCUACUUUUCAUGAAUACUGGAAGUAGGGAAUAAAUCUGGAGUCUCACGGGUGAAAAGAGACAUUUCCAUAUUACCAGACCACAAACGUGGGUGUUGAUUCUAAGGAUACCCCCAAUAAACAUCUUUCGUGCUAAAGCCCAUUCCAGAAUUUACUUCCCAGCUAUCUUUGAUGUUCAUAUUGUCAGAGGUGGUGGCCACUGAAAUAGGCAAAGACAUGGAGCAUAUCUUGGG